GAUUAACGCUGGCGGUGUGUCUAAUACAUGCAAGUCGAACGGUCCUUCGGGAUAGUGGCGAACGAGCGAGUAACACGUUGGAAUCUACCUCGUACUCAGGGAUAAGCACUGGAAACGGUGUCUAAUACCGGAUGGUCCCGCAAGGGUGAAGAUUUAUCGGUACGAGAGGAGCCUGCGUCCUAUCAGCUUGUUGGUGAGGUAAUGGCUCACCAAGGCUAUGACGGGUAGCUGGUCUGAGAGGAUGAUCAGCCGCGAUGGAACUGAGACACGGUCCAUACUCCUACGGGAGGCAGCAGUAGGGAAUCUUCCACAAUGGACGAAAGUCUGAUGGAGCAACACCGCGUGGUUGAUGAAGCCCCUUGGGGUGUAAAAACCUUUUUUGAGAGAAGAAUUAUGACGGUAUCUUAAGAAUAAGCACCGGCUAACUCUGUGCCAGCAGCCGCGGUAAUACAGAGGGUGCAAGCGUUAUCCGGAAUCAUUGGGCGUAAAGCGUCCGCAGGCUGUUAGUUAAGUAGGAUAUUAAAGGCGGUAGCUCAACUAUCGUAAUGUAUCCUAAACUGGCUAGCUAGAGACUCAUAGAGGUAAGUGGAAUUCUGCAUGUAGGGGUAAAAUCCGUAGAUAUGCAGAGGAACACCAAAAGCGAAAGCAGCUUACUGGAUGAGUUCUGACGCUCAGGGACGAAAGCGUGGGGAUCAAACAGGAUUAGAUACCCUGGUAGUCCACGCCCUAAACUAUGAACACUCGAUGUUAGGCUAUACAAUCGGCCUAGUGUCCAAGCUAACGCGUUAAGUGUUCCGCCUGGGGAGUACGGUCGCAAGAUUAAAACUCAAAGGAAUAGACGGGGACCCACACAAGCGGUGGAGCAUCUGGUUUAAUUCGAUAAUAAGCGGGGAACCUUACCUAGGCUUGACAUCCCAGUGAAUUUUCUGGAAACAGAAAAGUGCCGUAAGGAUCUCUGGUGACAGGUGCUGCAUGGUUGUCGUCAGCUCGUGCCUUGAGGUGUUCGGUUAAGUCCGUAAACGAGCGCAACCCAAGUCAUGUGUUGUAUUUUUCACAUGAGACUGCCGGCUACAAGUCGGAGGAAGGUUUGGAUGACGUCAAAUCAGCAUGGCCCUUAUGCCUAGGGCUACACAGGUGCUACAAUGGGCAGUACAGCGGGUAGCCAAGGAGUAAUCCGGAGCCAAUCCCUUAAAACUGCUCUUAGUUCGGAUUGAGGGCUGCAACUCGCCCUCAUGAAGUUGGAAUCGCUAGUAAACGCGUAUCAGCAAUGGCGCGUUGAAUCCGUUCCUGGGUCU
rnacentral:rRNA from 1 species